CCUCCCCCUCAGUAACUAACAGAUUACAGUUACAUUUAUUGUGUAAUUAAAUUGCGUAAUUCCAUGACAUGUACCUAGUUACUCCCA